rnacentral:rRNA from 1 species
CCUACGGGAGGCAGCAGUGGGGAAUAUUGGACAAUGGGGGGAACCCUGAUCCAGCCAUGCCGCGUGUGUGAAGAAGGCCCUCGGGUUGUAAAGCACUUUCAGUGAGGAAGAACGCCUGGUGGUUAAUACCCAUCAGGAAAGACAUCACUCACAGAAGAAGCACCGGCUAACUCCGUGCCAGCAGCCGCGGUAAUACGGAGGGUGCGAGCGUUAAUCGAAUUACUGGGCGUAAAGCGCGCGUAGGUGGCUUGAUAAGCCGGUUGUGAAAGCCCCGGGCUCAACCUGGGAACGGCAUCCGGAACUGUCAAGCUAGAGUGCAGGAGAGGAAGGUAGAAUUCCCGGUGUAGCGGUGAAAUGCGUAGAGAUCGGGAGGAAUACCAGUGGCGAAGGCGGCCUUCUGGACUGACACUGACACUGAGGUGCGAAAGCGUGGGUAGCAAACAGGAUUAGAUACCCGAGUAGUC